UGCUUCCCCUGUCUCUGAUUCGCAGGCGGCCGUGUCAUCAACACCAACUGCUCCGCGGUGCGCACCCGUCAGGCCCUCUGCUGCAAGAUGUCCGUGGAGUAUGACAAGUUCAUUGAGUCUGGGCGCAAGUACGCGGCGCUGACCCGACCCGCAGAGAGCCCAGAGCCAAGCUGGGUGGGGGCCUCCUGUCCAGCCAUGCCAGGCCCUCGUGCCCAGGACUCCCCUCGCCCACAGGUGGUUUUGCCACGUGGAUGAUGACAAUUAUGUGAACGCCAGGAGCCUCCUGCACCUGCUCUCCAGCUUCUCACCCAGCCAGGACGUCUACCUGGGGCGGCCCAGCCUGGACCACCCCAUCGAGGCCACCGAGAGGGUCCAGGGUGGCAGAACUGUGAGUGUCGGAGCAGACGCCGUCGGAGCAGACGCCUUCCUUGACACCAGCCCGGGAGGCGCAGCAGAGGGCGUGGAAAGCUGGCUUGAGAAGGGCAUAGGGUUGGGGGCCCAAGCUGAUCCACCCAGGUGGUUUGCAUGUGGUGGUUCAGGAGCAGGCCAGGAGGCCCUCACCGUACUGGGCAGAGAGGGGGUGUCUGGGCCAGGUGGGGAGGGUCUGGAGGCCAUGGGUCAAUGGCCUGCAGAGGCUCCCGGCUUUUUUUGCUUCAAGAAGCUUCUGUUACCUGGGUGGGAUCUCCUAAGGGGCAGCUUAAGAAAGAUGCCUGGGGAGUCCCAUGAAGAGUCAGGGGUGAGAAGCCCUGUCCCGGGCAGCUCUGACCAGCACCCCAUCCUCAGGUGACCACGGUCAAGUUCUGGUUUGCUACUGGUGGGGCCGGGUUCUGCCUCAGCAGAGGCCUUGCCCUCAAGAUGAGCCCAUGGGCCAGGUGAGUGGGGGUCCGGCUGCCCGGGCUGGGAGGCGGAGGCUGAGACCUGAAAGGUGCUGACCGGCCUCCCCCCAGCCUGGGCAGCUUCAUGAGCACAGCUGAGCAGGUGCGGCUGCCGGAUGACUGCACAGUGGGCUACAUCGUGGAGGGGCUCCUGGGCGCCCGCCUGCUGCACAGCACCCUCUUCCACUCUCACCUGGAGAACCUGCAGAGGCUGCCGCCCGACACCCUGCUCCAGCAGGUACAGGCGCCACUCUGGGUGCCUCUGCCACCUGGGCUUUGCCCCGCCCUGACUCCCCCAGGGGCCCCACUGCCCCGGCCCGAUGCCUGGCUGAGCAGGCAGGUGGGAUUUGCAUGUGGCUGGGGGCAGACCCUGGACAGGCCCCUUGGCCUAUUGGACACAGGGUCUUCAGGUACAGAUGGGGUAUGGUGUCUGGGGCAGAGGAACGAGGGGAGAAGCACAGUUCUCGGGCCAGGGAGGCCCCGUGCCAGCUGGGCAGUGGGUGUGGUGUGUAUGGUGACGGUGAGUCGGAACAGGUCCCAUCACGUGGAGCAGGGAGGGAAUGAGGGUCAGCUUUGCUCUGGAGGUUUCAGAUCCCUACCUUCUGUCCCCCAGGCUCUGCCUGAGGUGUCCCCCUACUCAGCUCAUGCCAUGUUUCAAUGCUGUUUCCAAGCCUGGCCUCCCCCAGGGCCUGGGGAGAAGGGGGUGGGCAAGGGGGCUCUAGCAGGGCUCCUGGCCAGGGGGAGGCGUGGCCCGAGACCAGACCAGGCCACACACUCUGCCCACACCGUUCCCUCCCAGGUUACCUUGAGCUAUGGGGGUCCUGAGAACCCACAUAACGUGGUGAACGUGGCUGGAGGCUUCAGCCUGCAUCAGGACCCCACACGGUGAGUGGGUAGUGGCAUGGGCAGGCCCUCGGCCCCGCAGGGGCUCUGGCAUCAGCACGCCCACCCACAGCCCUGGCCCCCACUUCUCCCUCUACCCACGGCCCUGACCCCCACUGCUCCCGCCGCCCACGGCCCUGACCCCCGCUUCUCCCACCGCCCACGGCCCUGACCCCCACUGCUCCCACCACCCACGGCCCUGACCCCUACUUCUUCCUUCGCCAGGUUUAAGUCUAUCCACUGCCUUCUCUACCCAGACACGGACUGGUGUCCCAGGCAGAAACAGGGUGCCCCAACGUCUCGGUGACACCAACCACCCCUGACCCAGGGCUGCCUGGCUCUGUCCCAGGUGCGGGGAACCAGAGCCCCCUGUGGGUUCAGUGGGCUCCCUCAGGUGCCACGGCCACACCAGUGAGAUGCAGGCACCUGGCAGACCCUCUGGCUAGCCUGCAGCCCCCCUCUCCCAGCCCCUGGUGGGCUGCGGUGAUGGGUGUUUUGGGAGAACGAAGACAGCCAGGCUGAUGGCCAGGGCCAUGGUGCCCCUCCCCCCGACCCAGCCGCAAGGUUGAUCCCACGGGAACAGGCUUCCACCCCAGCACUUGAGCACCUGGGAGGGAGCUGCCUUCCGGGCUCCAUUACCUGUUGCUGAAGGCGGGUGCUAGGCUGGCUAGGUGCCAAGGAGCAGGCUCCAGGCCAAGGUCCUGGCCCAGCCAUGGCCAUUGCAAGGGCUCAGCCUGGCAGGCUUUGUGGGGGACGCCGCCCUCUCUGCCGCAGGCUGGGUGCACGGCCGGGCACCACAGUGGGACUCAAGCCCGGGAAGGUCAUGCUCUCGGCCAGAGCUUUGCUCCCAGUCCAGGCGCCUCAUUCGGAGGCCUCUUGACUGGGACCACAGAGAUGUUUUCUCCACUCUGACUUGUGGCUCAGGACUACUUUCUGGGUCGUGCUCCUGCCCCACUGUGCCUGGCCCCAUAAACAACAGGAGCCUGUUGUUCCGCUGACCUGCCCAUCCCAGCAGACCCACCUCCCCGCCUGGUGCCUUCCACGGAGGGAAAUGGGACAGGGGCCGUCAUCUCCCCUCUGCCUCCUGCUUUGCUGUUGCCGAGCACGAGUAAAGCCUCUGUUCUUACUUCA
rnacentral:sRNA from 1 species